UGCGUAGGUGGCGUCGUAAGUCGGGUGUGAAAUUUCGGAGCUUAACUCCGAAACUGCAUUCGAUACUGCGGUGCUUGAGGACUGGAGAGGAGACUGGAAUUUACGGUGUAGCAGUGAAAUGCGUAGAGAUCGUAAGGAAGACCAGUGGCGAAGGCGGGUCUCUGGACAGUUCCUGACACUGAGGCACGAAGGCCAGGGAGCAAACG
rnacentral:rRNA from 1 species